GCUUAACACAUGCAAGUCGAGGGGCAGCAUUUUAGUUUUUUUGCAAACUGAAGAUGGCGACCGGCGCACGGGUGAGUAACACGUAUCCAACCUGCCGAUAACUCCGGGAUAGCCUUUCGAAAGAAAGAUUAAUACCGGAUAGCAUACGAAUAUCGCAUGAUAUUUUUAUUAAAGAAUUUCGGUUAUCGAUGGGGAUGCGUUCCAUUAGUUUGUUGGCGGGGUAACGGCCCACCAAGACUACGAUGGAUAGGGGUUCUGAGAGGAAGGUCCCCCACAUUGGAACUGAGACACGGUCCAAACUCCUACGGGAGGCAGCAGUGAGGAAUAUUGGUCAAUGGGCGCGAGCCUGAACCAGCCAAGUAGCGUGAAGGAUGAAGGCUCUAUGGGUCGUAAACUUCUUUUAUAUGGGAAUAAAGUUUUCCACGUGUGGAAUUUUGUAUGUACCAUAUGAAUAAGGAUCGGCUAACUCCGUGCCAGCAGCCGCGGUAAUACGGAGGAUCCGAGCGUUAUCCGGAUUUAUUGGGUUUAAAGGGAGCGUAGGUGGAUUGUUAAGUCAGUUGUGAAAGUUUGCGGCUCAACCGUAAAAUUGCAGUUGAAACUGGCAGUCUUGAGUACAGUAGAGGUGGGCGGAAUUCGUGGUGUAGCGGUGAAAUGCUUAGAUAUCACGAAGAACUCCGAUUGCGAAGGCAGCUCACUAGACUGUCACUGACACUGAUGCUCGAAAGUGUGGGUAUCAAACAGGAUUAGAUACCCUGGUAGUCCACACAGUAAACGAUGAAUACUCGCUGUUUGCGAUAUACAGUAAGCGGCCAAGCGAAAGCAUUAAGUAUUCCACCUGGGGAGUACGCCGGCAACGGUGAAACUCAAAGGAAUUGACGGGGGCCCGCACAAGCGGAGGAACAUGUGGUUUAAUUCGAUGAUACGCGAGGAACCUUACCCGGGCUUAAAUUGCAACAGAAUAUAUUGGAAACAGUAUAGCCGUAAGGCUGUUGUGAAGGUGCUGCAUGGUUGUCGUCAGCUCGUGCCGUGAGGUGUCGGCUUAAGUGCCAUAACGAGCGCAACCCUUAUCUUUAGUUACUAACAGGUCAUGCUGAGGACUCUAGAGAGACUGCCGUCGUAAGAUGUGAGGAAGGUGGGGAUGACGUCAAAUCAGCACGGCCCUUACGUCCGGGGCUACACACGUGUUACAAUGGGGGGUACAGAAGGCGGCUACCUGGUGACAGGAUGCUAAUCCCAAAAACCUCUCUCAGUUCGGAUCGAAGUCUGCAACCCGACUUCGUGAAGCUGGAUUCGCUAGUAAUCGCGCAUCAGCCAUGGCGCGGUGAAUACGUUCCCGGGCCUUGUACACACCGCCCGUCAAGCCAUGAAAGCCGGGGGUACCUGAAGUACGAAACCGCAAGGAGCGUCCUAGGGUAAAACUGGU
rnacentral:rRNA from 1 species